AGGAUGGUCUCUAUCUCCUGACCUCGUGAUCCACCCACCUCGGCCUCCCAAAGUGCUGGGAUUACAGAUUCUGGUCUUUCUUAUGGGGAACCUGAGUUCCUGCAUUAAAGUUCCCCCAGAAGAUCAAUGGAAGGUGGAUUCCAAAGAGUGGGCAAGUGAGGACCCCUUCUCUGUUACCAAGGUGACCCCAAGGAACACAGUAAAUGUGGCGGCUUAUUUGGCCUCCCCAGGACGGACUGGAGCAUCAGUAGUGCCUGAGUUCAUCAAAGGACAGAUGCUCAAGACACCUUGAUCACCAUUAGGUGGAAUUGAAGGAGCCAAAAAUGGGCGCAGUGGCUCCUCAGCAGAGACGCUCCUGAAUGUAUAGACAUGGGAACCACUUUCAGCAUCAAAAAAGGAAACGUUCUGCAUGCCCAUAUCCAGAAAAAUCCCCACUCGCUGUAACUUGCGGUCUACUAAGAGGAAAGUCAGCGGCACCGUGCUGGCAGAGAGGCGGCUUCCAUCCCUCAAACUCACAGUCCAGAAUCCAAGCUCUGUGGUCAGCUGGAUCUUCCCUUUGCAGUGAACAGAUUCUCUGCAGACUCCCAGGUCCCAUUCUGUGCUUGUUCCCACGUCCACCUCCCAGUAGUGGCGGCCACAGGUAAAGCGAGGGGAGCCCAGGAUGCAAACGGACACGUCAAAUCUCUCGGCAAGGUCUUGCCGAUUCUGUGUGAUGAGCCCACUUCGGACGCUCCUGAGGUCGUCAGAAAUGAGGAGGAAGUUGUUGGCUGUGUCGGCAUCCAAGGUCAUAUCCACUGUGAAAAGGAAAACAAGUUGCUCAGCAAGUGGACAGAAGCCAACCCCAUGCCUCUCUUCUACUUCAAAGGCCCAAAUAUCUCCUGACUUUAGUUUCUUUAAUUCUGUUUCUUCCUCCAAAAUCAAAACUUUUCAUGAGGAAACUUCCCUAUUUCAAAUUUUCAUAGGUAUGCUUUGUGGCAAUACGUGACUCUUAUUCACAGUAGCAAUUCUUAUUUUACUUUACGUCACGUGUUUGCUUCACUGAACUUUUCUUCAUUUAGAGUGGAGGGUCUCUGAAGGCAGACACCAUGCCCCCCUUUCUACCACCUUGAUGUGUGAACAAAUAAAUGAUAAUUAAGACAAAAAAAAAAAAAAAAAAAAAAAAAAAAAAA
rnacentral:lncRNA from 1 species